AGUGAACGCUGGCGGUAGGCCUAACACAUGCAAGUCGAACGGCAGCACAGUAAGAGCUUGCUCUUACGGGUGGCGAGUGGCGGACGGGUGAGGAAUACAUCGGAAUCUACUUUUUCGUGGGGGAUAACGUAGGGAAACUUACGCUAAUACCGUAUACGACCUACGGGUGAAAGCAGGGGAUCUUCGGACCUUGCGCGAUUGAAUGAGCCGAUGUCGGAUUAGCUAGUUGGCGGGGUAAAGGCCCACCAAGGCGACGAUCCGUAGCUGGUCUGAGAGGAUGAUCAGCCACACUGGAACUGAGACACGGUCCAGACUCCUACGGGAGGCAGCAGUGGGGAAUAUUGGACAAUGGGCGCAAGCCUGAUCCAGCUAUACCGCGUGGGUGAAGAAGGCCUUCGGGUUGUAAAGCCCUUUUGUUGGGAAAGAAAAGCAGCAGGUUAAUACCCCGCUGUUCUGACGGUACCCAAAGAAUAAGCACCGGCUAACUUCGUG
rnacentral:rRNA from 1 species